rnacentral:misc_RNA from 1 species
AGCAGCCGCGGUAAUUCCAGCUCCAAUAGCGUAUAUUAAAGUUGUUGCAGUUAAAAAGCUCGUAGUUGAAUUUCGGGGUUAGUAGGUUGGUCAUGCCUCUGGUAUGUACUGGUCUCACUGAUUCCUCCUUCCUGAUGAGCCGUAAUGCCGUUAAUUUGGUGUUGCGAGGAAUUUGGACUGUUACUUUGAAAAAAUUAGAGUGUUUAAAGCAAGCUAACGCUUGAAUACAUUAGCAUGGAAUAAUGAAAUAGGACGUUCGAUCCUAUUUUGUUGGUUUCUAGGAUUGACGUAAUGAUUAAUAGGGAUAGUUGGGGGCAUUAGUAUUCAAUUGUCAGAGGUGAAAUUCUUGGAUUAUUGGAAGACUAACUACUGCGAAAGCAUUUGCCAAGGAUGUUUUCAUUAAUCAAGAACGAAAGUUAGGGGAUCGAAGACGAUCAGAUACCGUCGUAGUCUUAACCAUAAACUAUGCCGACUAGGGAUCGGAUGAUGUUAAUUUUUUAAUGACUCAUUCGGCGCCUUA